ACAGCAGUCGCCGCGGGAAUACAGAGGGUGCGAGCGUUAAUCGGAUUUACUGGGCGUAAAGCGUGCGUAGGCGGCUUUUUAAGUCGGAUGUGAAAUCCCUGAGCUUAACUUAGGAAUUGCAUUCGAUACUGGGAAGCUAGAGUAUGGGAGAGGAUGGUAGAAUUCCAGGUGUAGCGGUGAAAUGCGUAGAGAUCUGGAGGAAUACCGAUGGCGAAGGCAGCCAUCUGGCCUAAUACUGACGCUGAGGUACGAAAGCAUGGGGAGCAAACAGGAUUAGAUACCCGUGUAGUCCCUGUCUCUUAUAC
rnacentral:rRNA from 1 species